rnacentral:ncRNA from 1 species
GAUGUGGAAGGAUUUGAACUGAUUGCAACCACAAUAAAAAAGUGCUAAAGCGGUAU